CUUGGACGUCAUGGUACUGGUCCUGCUUACCAGCAGCUCAGUAAACUCUAUAGUGACAUUCAGCAAUCCAAGAACCAGAAUUUUACACAAGACAACAGAACCCAAGGAAUCAUGGAGAAAAGCCAGUGGGAUUUGAAAAAAAUCCGUACCCAGAGAAGAAGACUGACAAGGCUUGAUGACUUUGUGGAAAUUUAUCAAAAAAUGCACGAUGCCCUCCUGCUUGAAUAUGCAGACAUGAAAAAAUCAAGACAAAAGUCUUUUCGCGUGGAAAUGGAGAAAUGGAAAGACAAACGCAUUA